rnacentral:lncRNA from 1 species
CCAUCCUGUGUAGAUCCUGGUACCCUGUUCUGACUGGUCACUGUUACUGAGGUCUUACUGCAAUUUACUGGAUGACAAGUGUAUUGUGGCGUUUUUCAAAAAAUAGCUGCACAUUAAGGAGGUAGACAAGAAGGAAGUAGUUGCUGACGUAUUCAUGUUGGACCUGUGCAGAUUGAAAAGAGUCAGGAGAACACUAGCAGUGAAACUGGUU